rnacentral:rRNA from 1 species
GAUCCUGGCUCAGGAUGAACGCUAGCUACAGGCUUAACACAUGCAAGUCGAGGGGCAGCAUAGUCUUAGCUUGCUAAGGCUGAUGGCGACCGGCGCACGGGUGAGUAACACGUAUCCAACCUGCCGUCUACUCUUGGCCAGCCUUCUGAAAGGAAGAUUAAUCCAGGAUGGGGAUCAUGAGUUCACCAUGUUCCGUCAAUGAUUAAAAGGUUAAGUUUUCCGGUUACGGACGGAUGGGGAGUG